rnacentral:rRNA from 1 species
CCGUUCGCACGCAGUUGUAGUCUGCAGAGCAGGGCCUAACACUAAGUGCCUCCGCAAAGAGCCGCCGGUGUACUCGAGGCCCUACCGGCCUAGCCAGGAGGAGGCGGCGCGGCCGCGACCGCGGUUGGCGGAGAAGCGGUGGUGGCGCUGCAGGGGCCCCCGGUUCUGGAGGGAACAGCCGCCGUUCCCGCGCAACGACGCCUACUACAGGUGAAGGCGCCGGAGCAUCCACCAGUUCCGCCUCCGCCGGUUCCCGCUACCAAUCUUCUUCCUCCACCGCUAGUCGUCGAUGAACCCCCUAGCUCGUCAGCUUCUUCGACCACGCACUCCUUCCGUGGCUCACCUUCACCAGAACGAAGUCCGGUACCCUCCGCAUGUCGCGUCUGUACAGCUAGCUAGACUGGUUCGUGGUACACGGGUUGUGCUACGAGCUGUUCUAGCGGAUGAUGUGGCAGUUCAGGGGCGCGAAGGGGUGGCUGUAGAAGAAGGUCCAUGAGAAGACAAUUACUUGAAGGAGGUGUGGACAUCACUGUUCUUUUGUGACUUCUUCACCAAGAAGUAGCUGUUCUGUCAACCGAUUCUUUUAGGUCGACUUUCUCUCUGUUGGUAGCAUGGACGGACUCUUUCUAGAACGGAUGUCACGUACCUACGAUUCCAGUAACAAUACUUCCGGGGUGUUCUUCCGCACCCCCUAAACCGUGUUCCGGCCACUAGCUCAGAUACGAGAGAGGAGGUACCUUUCUGGAUACAAGUUGAACGAACUUACUUGUCACACACACCUUGUCUAAGAACAGACUUAAGAGAAGAACACCCUCAUACUUGAACGAACAUCAUAGAACCUCAUAGUUGAACCUCGUAGACCAAUCUCAUCGUAGAACGUUGUGUAAGCUAAUGAGGUCAUGACUAUCAAUGUCAUCGUAGAACUUUUUACCUCAUCAAUCUCAUCGUAGAAGCUAAUUGAUUUAACUACUAAUGACGACAAUUUAACCCUGAACGUUCGUCAUCAAGGGAGAAGAAUAGAGAAGAGAGAACGUCAUCAACAACAUCAUCAUCAAAGAACGUCAUCAAAUCACAUGCUAAACAGAAACCACCUCAUAAAGAACUCGACACAACAUAAAGGACACUGAUUUAUCACUUAGAUCAAUGUUGUUUCGUACGGUCAUGAACAGAAACCACCUCAUCAAACUGUCACUCCUAGUCACUACAAGGGUUAAUUAAACCACAUCAAAACUAUCAAUCUCAUCGUACAACCUCAUCCCAUCAGGUGUAAACAGAUGUAAUCUGGUCUAAUAAGGCUAAUCAGGUGUAAAGUAUAAUAAGAACCUCGUUACAUGAUAUCGUCGUCAUGACAUGACAUCGUCGUUGUACUCAUUUGACUUAUGAGGAAGUAUACGAACCAAGGAAGAAUAAGAAGGAGUCUAACACUUUUACCUAAGUGAGGAAGAAUACGUGACGUGACAUGACAUCAUAUCCAGUAGAAACUUAAUUAUGAGGUUUUAAAUAAUCAUAACCUCCUAACUAACAAAGGUUUAGUUAUGAGGACCCGUAGUAAGUACCGACAGAUCAUCAGCUGUAUGAAGACCAAGGUAAAUCACAUACGUCCAUCGUCGUCGAAUUCACAUUACCUCAACAAAACAAUGAGAUACGGAUGAAUCAAUCUCAACCGUGGUAGAGGAACAGCAAAUAUCGUAUUUGCGGAAGUGAUAAGAACGAGACUUGGAGACUAGGACUACGACUAACAUAAACAGAACUACCUUAUUGUACGUUGUACCACUGAGAUCACGUCCAUCGCAACCGGUAGGAGAAGCUCCAACACAAAUCCACUAUUGAGCCCAUCGGUACUGUGAUGAGACCGACUAAUCAUGGGUCACCGUACAAACAUUAUAAAUAUACGUAAAAUGAACAUCUUUAUUACGAGUGCCAUAUAAAUAUACAGGACGUCGCGUACGAGGAAAAGCCAGACAUUUCUUACAACUAUACCACAAAACCGUCGACACUAUAAUCUAACGUGAAGAAAUACACUAAAUGAGUACAACCAUGAUGAACAAUUCACUAACGAGACAUUGAACAGAAAGAGCCUUGUCAAACGAACCAGAAAGUAUAGACUGAUACAUUACAUCUUCGAGAUGAAAUAGGAUUAUCAACGUACAUCGUAACACGAUGAUAGACACACUACGAUUUGUUAUACGAGAAUUAGACAACUAUAUAAGAGUUCACAACAAGUGGUAAAUGUAACAAAAAUGUAAAAGAUAUAAGUGUUUAUCAUCAUCACAGACCAGAUCUAUUAGACAUUUAAAACAACAGAACAACUAUUACGGUAUAUAGGAUUCGUUACUAUAAUGUAAAGACAAACAUACCAUUAUAUUUUUUAUAACUACAACAGUAUUAAAAGUAACACACACGGAAAGUAAAGAAAUAAAACUAACAAAGGGAACAUAAGAUAUACGAAGAUUACCAGCUAGGAAAGUUACUGUCCACAACACAAGAUCUUCUACUUUCUCCUUCUUUUAAAUAAAAACAACUUGAUUUAAAAAACAUAAGACAAAACAACAUGUAUACUAAACUAUCAAAACAUAUCCUUGUACACUAUGAUAAAACAUCCCGAAAUACCGGACACUACAUUUGUAUAAAUCACUACUUAAUACUUUAAUAAACGUUUUAAAUAACUUUUCCUC